UCAACCAGCCCAUGUCUGCACCUGGACAAGGCACUCACUAAAGCAUGAGGAAAGUGCGUGCCCUGCUCUGCAAUGCACAGUGGUCCUACAGAAUACAUAAUCAGCUGCUCACAGCUCACCUUAAGAUGGAGUCAGGACUUUGAGUGUGGCACACAUCUGCAUCUCCAUAAACCGUGUGGACUGUCUACAACUGAACUUUAAAGAUAAGGAAGGAACAAGAAACUAAAAAUGGAUCAAUGGGCCUAACCCAGAAAUAUCAAAUAUACCACAUUCAGAAGAGAAGGCAAGCAGUGUAACUAAGCAUGCUCCUGUGUCCAGAGACUAAAGACUAGAAGCAAUGAAGACUGACAGCUUACCUCCUCCAACCCCCAGACAACCACCAAGAAGCUAUUACUGAAAAAAUCAAAUAAAUAAAAACCUUCAAA